AUCGGAACGUGCCCGAUCGUGGGGGAUAACGCAGCGAAAGCUGCGCUAAUACCGCAUACGAUCUGAGGAUGAAAGCGGGGGACCUCAUAGCAAUAUGGGGCCUCGUGCGAUCGGAGCGGCCGAUGUCAGAUUAGGUAGUUGGUGAGGUAAAGGCUCACCAAGCCAACGAUCUGUAGCUGGUCUGAGAGGACGACCAGCCACACUGGGACUGAGACACGGCCCAGACUCCUACGGGAGGCAGCAGUGGGGAAUUUUGGACAAUGGGCGAAAGCCUGAUCCAGCAAUGCCGCGUGCAGGAAGAAGGCCUUCGGGUUGUAAACUGCUUUCGUACGGAGCGAAAAGGCUCCCUCUAAUACAGGGGGUCCAUGACGGUACCGUAAGAAUAAGCACCGGCUAACUACGUGCCAGCAGCCGCGGUAAUACGUAGGGUGCAAGCGUUAAUCGGAAUUACUGGGCGUAAAGCGUGCGCAGGCGGUUUUGUAAGACAGGCGUGAAAUCCCCGGGCUCAACCUGGGAAUGGCGCUUGUGACUGCAAGGCUGGAGUGCGGCAGAGGGGGAUGGAAUUCCGCGUGUAGCAGUGAAAUGCGUAGAUAUGCGGGGGAACACCGAUGGCGAAGGCAAUCCCCUGGGCCUGCACUGACGCUCAUGCACG
rnacentral:rRNA from 1 species